AACGCUAGCUACAGGCUUAACACAUGCAAGUCGCGGGGCAGCAUGGGAGAUGCUUGCAUUUCCUGAUGGCGACCGGCGCACGGGUGAGUAACGCGUAUCCAACCUGCCUGUUACCACGGCACAGCCCGUCGAAAGGCGGAUUAAUGCCGUAUGUGGUCCUAAGCGGGCAUCUAAUUAGGACUAAAGGAUUGGCGGUAACGGAUGGGGAUGCGUUCCAUUAGAUAGUAGGCGGGGUAACGGCCCACCUAGUCUACGAUGGAUAGGGGUUCUGAGAGGAAGGUCCCCCACAUUGGAACUGAGACACGGUCCAAACUCCUACGGGAGGCAGCAGUGAGGAAUAUUGGUCAAUGGACGAGAGUCUGAACCAGCCAAGUAGCGUGAAGGAUGACUGCCCUACGGGUUGUAAACUUCUUUUAUAAGGGAAUAAAGUGUGCCACGUGUGGUGCUUUGCAUGUACCUUAUGAAUAAGCAUCGGCUAACUCCGUGCCAGCAGCCGCGGUAAUACGGAGGAUGCGAGCGUUAUCCGGAUUUAUUGGGUUCAAAGGGAGCGUAGACGGGUCGUUAAGUCAGCUGUGAAAGUUUGAGGCUCAACCUUAAAAUUGCAGUUGAUACUGGCGUCCUUGAGUACGGUUGAGGCAGGCGGAAUUCGUGGUGUAGCGGUGAAAUGCUUAGAUAUCACGAAGAACUCCGAUUG
rnacentral:rRNA from 1 species